GCCAUGGGACCCCGGAACUAACAGUCUCACCACAUGCCCUUCUUCAUCUCCCUGUGUCCUUACCGGUGAUCCAGACCAGUAGCAGCCCCAGGAGCUGAAGAGGGAGCCUCAUUUCGAGAAAUUGAACUGAAGAAUCCUGAUCAGUGAAGGCAAACUGGAGACGAACAACUCUAUUCAAGGCAAGAGGGAAAGAAAAAAAAAAACUGUGCCUUAUAAUGGAUAUGAAAUUUCUGGUAAGUAGAUUUUGAAAUUGGUGAAUAU
rnacentral:lncRNA from 1 species